rfam:Zootermopsis nevadensis contig21659, whole genome shotgun sequence.
CACGGUGGUCUAGAGGUUAGAACGCUGGCCUUGUAAUCCUGGGGUCUCGGGUUCGAUUCCCGGCGGUG